GUGCUCUGACAUUAGCAAUUGUUUUGCUCUACUGAAGAUGCUAGGCGGAGGUGCCAUUUUCAGCGGGUGGGUGCCUUUCGAUUCGUCAGUCAUUCAGAGGAUUUCACCUGAAGCAAGGAAGGUAAUCAAUAUUUUUCAUCCCUGUUUCCCUUUCCUUUAGCUUAAUGCACAAACACAACCUUAAGGUGUGAGCAAGCAUAAAUGUUGAGGUUGAUGAAAAUUGCUGAACAACAAGAGAUGUAGCUGAUGAUGUUUGCUCUCUUGGGUUCUUGUUGUUGUCUUUUGAUUUGAAAGAACUUUUCGUAUGCAUGAACAAACACUGCUGGAACCUCUACAUGCGUUGGCAUGGCCAUACCUAGGAACCAUCAGGUGAUAAGUAUUAAGUAUUUCUCUUAUUCGAGUUGGAUUACAUAUACACCUAAAACAAAACCAUUUAAAUUGCACUGGCUAUGGAUUGAUGUGUUUCAGUGAGCAAUCUGGAUAAUUAUGUAAGACAUUGAAUUGUAGCGCUAAAUUUUUCCAGCACUUGACUUAUUUGGAUGUUAUCAUAUGAAAUUCACUGUCUGAACUUUACGUAUUCCUAAGUAUGUACUUCAGAUUUAAUAUUCACAGUUCCCUCCUAAACAUCAAAUAUUGCAAUAUGCCUAUUAUGGCGCAGCCUUACCUAUCAAUUUGGGUGCCAGUAGAAUUAAGUCAAGUAGGAAAAAAAUGUGACCCUGCGGCUCCAUCUUAGGACUUAGGAUAGGAAAAAUGUUAUUUUACAAAUUCAAUAGAACAUUGCACAAUGGAAGUUAAAUUACGCACGUAAUCUCAUAUUUUAGCCAAUCAAGUAUUAUGUUUAUUUACACAAUAAUGAUGAUAGCAUAAAUCCUUGUGGGUGAUUUACAAUAUUUGAAUGAAAUCAGGCAGACUGCAGUCACUUGUCAGACUUGCUGAAAAAACUAACCCAAUAGAUUAAGGAAAGUAGUGGCCUCGUAGUUAUUCAACCUUGAAGAAUGUUAGAUGGACCAUCUGGUCUCUGCUGUAAGAAUAUAAUUUUGAAAGAAAUUUGGAUUCUUAAUAUGGUCUAGCUGACAGAACGGUAUUAUUUGAAGAUGGUCAAGCUGGUCCACCAUUUUUGCAAAGUGCAGGUGUUAAUUGUGAAUUUAAGGCAUAUCCAGAUCUUGGUCACUCAAUUUCCCAGGAUGAGCUGCAAUAUCUUGAGUCCUGGAUCAGAAGUCGUCUUAAGGCCUCUCAGGAGAAGGACGGUUAAUUUAGUCCGCCAUCGCUUCCCCAGUAUAGCAACUUGGCGAAUGCCGCCAUGUUUGUAUUCAAUCUCAUAUUUUAGCUAAUGGUUCCUUGUGGUUAGAUUUCGUUUCCCGUGGCUGAUAGCUGAUACAUAUGGAAAACAUUAUUGAGGCAUAAAACUCUAGGUGUAUGCAGUUGUCUUUAGCAUCUUUACUUAAUUUUGAGCAUUGCCAUUUUCUUCU